rnacentral:misc_RNA from 1 species
AAGUCGUAACAAGGUCUCCGUAGGUGAACCUGCGGAGGGAUCAUUACAGAGAAAAGAGCUCCGGCUCUGACCUCCAACCCUUUGUUUACCUUUACCACUGUUGCCUCGGCGGGUCGCCGGCACCUUUUACGGGAUGCCGCCGUCGGCCUUUUUGCGCUCUCGAGUGCCCGCCGCUAGGCCCCAAACUUAAACUCUUUGUAAACCCAGUCUUCUGAGAGUAAAUUUAAUACUUCAAAA